GGGCAUGUAGCUCAGAGCUAGAGCACUUGCCUGACAUGUGUGAAGUCCUGGGUUUGAUCCCCAGCACCA
rnacentral:tRNA from 1 species